rnacentral:misc_RNA from 1 species
UACGAAGGCCCCGAGUGUUAAUCGGAAUAAUUGGGCGUAAAGCGUCCGCAGACGGGAUGAAAAGUUCGCUGUUAAAUCAUAGGGCUCAACUCUAUGCUUGCAGUGGAAACUGUCAUUCUUGAGGAAUAGAGAGGUAAGCGGAACUCCUGGUGGAGCGGUGAAAUGCGUUGAUAUCAGGGGGAACACCAAUUGCGAAGGCAGCUUACUGGCUAUUUCCUGACGUUCAGGGACGACAGCGUAGGUAGCGAACGGG